UUGGAGGGCAAGUCUGGUGCCAGCAGCCGCGGUAAUUCCAGCUCCAAUAGCGUAUAUUAAAGUUGUUGCAGUUAAAAAGCUCGUAGUCGAAUUUCGGGGUUAGUAGGUUGGUCAUGCCUCUGGUAUGUACUGGUCUCACUGAUUCCUCCUUCCUGAUGAACCUUAAUGCCAUUAAUUUGGUGUUUUGGGGAAUUUGGACUGUUACUUUGAAAAAAUUAGAGUGUUUAAAGCAAGCUAACGCUUGAAUACAUUAGCAUGGAAUAAUGAAAUAGGACGUUCGAUCCUAUUUUGUUGGUUUCUAGGAUUGACGUAAUGAUUAAUAGGGAUAGUCGGGGGCAUCAGUAUUCCGUUGUCAGAGGUGAAAUUCUUGGAUUUACGGAAGACUAACUACUGCGAAAGCAUUUGCCAAGGAUGUUUUCAUUAAUCAGUGAACGGAAGUUAGGGGAUCGAAGACGAUCAGAUACCGUCGUAGUCUUAACCAUAGACUAUGCCGACUAGGGAUCGGGCGAUGUUAUCUUUUUGACUCGCUCGGCGCCUUACGGGAAACCAAAGUGUUUGGGUU
rnacentral:rRNA from 1 species